AGUGAACGCUGGCGGUGGGCCUAACACAUGCAAGUCGAACGGCAGCACAGUAAGAGCUUGCUCUUACGGGUGGCGAGUGGCGGACGGGUGAGGAAUACAUCGGAAUCUACUUUUUCGUGGGGGAUAACGUAGGGAAACUUACGCUAAUACCGCAUACGACCUACGGGUGAAGGCAGGGGAUCUUCGGACCUUGCGCGAUUGAAUGAGCCGAUGUCGGAUUAGCUAGUUGGCGGGGUAAAGGCCCACCAAGGCGACGAUCCGUAGCUGGUCUGAGAGGAUGAUCAGCCACACUGGAACUGAGACACGGUCCAGACUCCUACGGGAGGCAGCAGUGGGGAAUAUUGGACAAUGGGCGCAAGCCUGAUCCAGCCAUACCGCGUGGGUGAAGAAGGCCUUCGGGUUGUAAAGCCCUUUUGUUGGGAAAGAAAAGCAGCAGGUUAAUACCCCGCUGUUCUGACGGUACCCAAAGAAUAAGCACCGGCUAACUUCGUG
rnacentral:rRNA from 1 species